GGCUCGGUGGUGGAUGGUCCAUUCCUGUCUUCUGUACCAGGUUGCCAGCUGACUUGAGCAGGAGAAGCCUGUUCGAAUCAGGCCCGAGCCC